CAGUCGCCGCGGGAAAACGGAGGGGGCUAGCGUUGUUCGGAAUUACUGGGCGUAAAGCGCACGUAGGCGGCUUGGUAAGUUAGAGGUGAAAGCCUGGAGCUCAACUCCAGAAUUGCCUUUAAGACUGCCGAGCUAGCAGGUGAGAGAGGUAAGUGGAAUUCCGAGUGUAGAGGUGAAAUUCGUAGAUAUUCGGAAGAACACCAGUGGCGAAGGCGGCUUACUGGCUCAUACUGGACGCUGAGGUGCGAAAGCGUGGGGAGCAAACAGGAUUAGAUACCCCCGUAGUCCCUGUCUCUUAUAA
rnacentral:rRNA from 1 species